rnacentral:snRNA from 1 species
GUGCUCGCUUCGGCAGCACAUCUACUAAAAU